UACAGCAGCAGCAACGGGAGUAACCGUAGCGGAGGACCGUAGCAGCGGUAAUAAAGCCUCGUUUAACCGGGGAGAAGGACCGUAGCAACGGUAAUAAAGCCUCGUUUAACCGGGGAGAAGGACCAUAGCGGCGGGAAUAAAGCCUCGUUUAACCGGGGAGAAGGACCGGAUAGAAGGACCGUAGGACCCGGUUUUCAUUGAAUAUCACGGUGUGUGUGAACGGGCUGACUGAAUUAGUAGCAUUAGGAAAGUUCAUCCUUUACACCUGAACUUCCGCCCGGAGACAGGCUGUCAAUCAUUCCAAUGGUCAUCUUAUCUCACAAGGGAAUGCAAAGUAGGGCUUAUCUUUGUGAAAUGGGCCCAGAAUGUCCCCCUAUGUGCUGCUGGAAAAUAACACAGGCAAGCAUUUAUAAUGGAUCAAGCACUUGCAUAAGGUGGAUAUAAUGGCCCUUUUCCACCGACAGUACCAGCUGAACUCGCCUCGACUUAGCCCGCCUUUUUUUGCGUUUCGAUCACCAAAAUGAGCUGCUGGCCACUGAUUGGCCAGAGAAAGACGCUACUGGACGAGUCAUGAUGAGCGAGAUGUCGGAGCCUGACACUCGACACCCGGCAUCUUUAAAUAAUAACAUCAGUGUUCAGUCAACAAUAGUGAUUGAUUAUUGAACAUGGCAGGAUCAGCAUGCAAGAACACUCCAUGGACCGUGAAUAUUUUAGCAUUCACCAUUGCAACAAAGCCAAUAAUAACCAAAAACAUUGUCUGUAAUUUGUAAAAUGAAAUCACAAUCUACAAAUAAUCCAGACAAAAAACGCAUAGAAAUGAUCUAUCACAUUGCCAUUGUGUAAGGAGACUGGUGUGGGUCAUUGAGAGCCAGAUGGAUCCAUGUAGUCUGUCUAUUGCUUAAGGAUCCCAUAUCAUGUUUUAAGGGUUAAUAGGGUUAAUGAGAGACUAUAAAAGACGACUCAGGUAUUUGCAGGCAUUUUGAGAUAAUUAGCUGUUUGGGUGUGACACCUUGAGUCUACAAUUUAGAUAUUUUUUUCGCAUUAUUCAAAUUGUCUGAGAUAUUGUAUUGUGUAUUUGGGGUUUUCAUGAGCUGUAAGCCCCAUCAUCGAGAUUAAUACAAAUAAAGGCUUGCAAUAUUUCACUUUGGGUGUAAUGAAUCUAUAUAGUAUAUGAGUUUCACUAAGUACAUUUUCCACAAUAUUCAUAUUCACUGAGAUGCACCUGUAUGAGGUGAAAUGUAGGGUUGGAGUGGUUACAAUGACUUAUACCACAAUUAAAAUCUUGUUAUUCCGUGUUUGACAACUGUUCAAUACAUUUUAAAUAA
ensembl:lncRNA